AUGUCAUGUUAUCGAUAUGUGAAUACAUAGCAUAUCAGAAGGCACACCCGGAGAACUGAAACAUCUUAGUACCCGGAGGAAGAGAAAGAAAAUUCGAUUCCCUUAGUAGCGGCGAGCGAAACGGGAAGAGCCCAAACCAACAAGCUUGCUUGUUGGGGUUGUAGGACACUCUAUACGGAGUUACAAAGGACGACAUUAGACGAAUCAUCUGGAAAGAUGAAUCAAAGAAGGUAAUAAUCCUGUAGUCGAAAAUGUUGUCUCUCUUGAGUGGAUCCUGAGUACGACGGAGCACGUGAAAUUCCGUCGGAAUCUGGGAGGACCAUCUCCUAAGGCUAAAUACUCUCUAGUGACCGAUAGUGAACCAGUACCGUGAGGGAAAGGUGAAAAGCACCCCGGAAGGGGAGUGAAAUAGAACCUGAAACCGUGUGCUUACAAGUAGUCAGAGCCCGUUAAUGGGUGAUGGCGUGCCUUUUGUAGAAUGAACCGGCGAGUUACGAUUUGAUGCAAGGUUAAGCAGUAAAUGUGGAGCCGUAGCGAAAGCGAGUCUGAAUAGGGCGUUUAGUAUUUGGUCGUAGACCCGAAACCAGGUGAUCUACCCUUGGUCAGGUUGAAGUUCAGGUAACACUGAAUGGAGGACCGAACCGACUUACGUUGAAAAGUGAGCGGAUGAACUGAGGGUAGCGGAGAAAUUCCAAUCGAACCUGGAGAUAGCUGGUUCUCUCCGAAAUAGCUUUAGGGCUAGCCUCAAGUGAUGAUUAUUGGAGGUAGAGCACUGUUUGGACGAGGGGCCCCUCUCGGGUUACCGAAUUCAGACAAACUCCGAAUGCCAAUUAAUUUAACUUGGGAGUCAGAACAUGGGUGAUAAGGUCCGUGUUCGAAAGGGAAACAGCCCAGACCACCAGCUAAGGUCCCAAAAUAUAUGUUAAGUGGAAAAGGAUGUGGCGUUGCCCAGACAACUAGGAUGUUGGCUUAGAAGCAGCCAUCAUUUAAAGAGUGCGUAAUAGCUCACUAGUCGAGUGACACUGCGCCGAAAAUGUACCGGGGCUAAACAUAUUACCGAAGCUGUGGAUUGUCCUUUGGACAAUGGUAGGAGAGCGUUCUAAGGGCGUUGAAGCAUGAUCGUAAGGACAUGUGGAGCGCUUAGAAGUGAGAAUGCCGGUGUGAGUAGCGAAAGACGGGUGAGAAUCCCGUCCACCGAUUGACUAAGGUUUCCAGAGGAAGGCUCGUCCGCUCUGGGUUAGUCGGGUCCUAAGCUGAGGCCGACAGGCGUAGGCGAUGGAUAACAGGUUGAUAUUCCUGUACCACCUAUAAUCGUUUUAAUCGAUGGGGGGACGCAGUAGGAUAGGCGAAGCGUGCGAUUGGAUUGCACGUCUAAGCAGUAAGGCUGAGUAUUAGGCAAAUCCGGUACUCGUUAAGGCUGAGCUGUGAUGGGGAGAAGACAUUGAGUCUUCGAGUCGUUGAUUUCACACUGCCGAGAAAAGCCUCUAGAUAGAAAAUAGGUGCCCGUACCGCAAACCGACACAGGUAGUCAAGAUGAGAAUUCUAAGGUGAGCGAGCGAACUCUCGUUAAGGAACUCGGCAAAAUGACCCCGUAACUUCGGGAGAAGGGGUGCUCUUUAGGGUUAACGCCCAGAAGAGCCGCAGUGAAUAGGCCCAAGCGACUGUUUAUCAAAAACACAGGUCUCUGCUAAACCGUAAGGUGAUGUAUAGGGGCUGACGCCUGCCCGGUGCUGGAAGGUUAAGAGGAGUGGUUAGCUUCUGCGAAGCUACGAAUCGAAGCCCCAGUAAACGGCGGCCGUAACUAUAACGGUCCUAAGGUAGCGAAAUUCCUUGUCGGGUAAGUUCCGACCCGCACGAAAGGCGUAACGAUUUGGGCACUGUCUCAACGAGAGACUCGGUGAAAUCAUAGUACCUGUGAAGAUGCAGGUUACCCGCGACAGGACGGAAAGACCCCGUGGAGCUUUACUGUAGCCUGAUAUUGAAAUUCGGCACAGCUUGUACAGGAUAGGUAGGAGCCUUUGAAACGUGAGCGCUAGCUUACGUGGAGGCGCUGGUGGGAUACUACCCUAGCUGUGUUGGCUUUCUAACCCGCACCACUUAUCGUGGUGGGAGACAGUGUCAGGCGGGCAGUUUGACUGGGGCGGUCGCCUCCUAAAAGGUAACGGAGGCGCUCAAAGGUUCCCUCAGAAUGGUUGGAAAUCAUUCAUAGAGUGUAAAGGCAUAAGGGAGCUUGACUGCGAGACCUACAAGUCGAGCAGGGUCGAAAGACGGACUUAGUGAUCCGGUGGUUCCGCAUGGAAGGGCCAUCGCUCAACGGAUAAAAGCUACCCCGGGGAUAACAGGCUUAUCUCCCCCAAGAGUUCACAUCGACGGGGAGGUUUGGCACCUCGAUGUCGGCUCAUCGCAUCCUGGGGCUGUAGUCGGUCCCAAGGGUUGGGCUGUUCGCCCAUUAAAGCGGUACGCGAGCUGGGUUCAGAACGUCGUGAGACAGUUCGGUCCCUAUCCGUCGUGGGCGUAGGAAAUUUGAGAGGAGCUGUCCUUAGUACGAGAGGACCGGGAUGGACAUACCUCUGGUGUACCAGUUGUCGUGCCAACGGCAUAGCUGGGUAGCUAUGUGUGGACGGGAUAAGUGCUGAAAGCAUCUAAGCAUGAAGCCCCCCUCAAGAUGAGAUUUCCCAACUUCGGUUAUAAGAUCCCUCAAAGAUGAUGAGGUUAAUAGGUUCGAGGUGGAAGCAUGGUGACAUGUGGAGCUGACGAAUACUAAUCGAUCGAAGACUUAAUCAA
rnacentral:rRNA from 1 species